UGUACUAAUAAAAGAGCUGUUUCCACAGUGAGGUCCCGGAACCUGUUGUCCCUUCCGGAGCACGGGGGUCUGGACGAGCCUCAUCCCGUCGGGCUGGGCGGGGAUUAUCCUGAAUGGGACCAUCAGGUCGAAGUAAUGGCGGCUUGGCGUUUAGAACAGCAGCACAAACAGGAGCAGGCGGAGCUUCGUGAAGCAGAGCCCCGCCCACUUAUUCUAAACACCAAUGAAACACGAGCGCAAAAGGCCAUUCUCAUAGACCUGCACUCACACAGGUCAGAUCAGUGGUCAAACGAGACGGCUAAAGUCAUACAGCUGGAGAGGACCGUCAACGAGACGUCCUGAGAUCCCUGCAGCGGCGGGCCAUAGGCUUCAUAUUUAUAGUAUUGUUUUACUUAGAUGUCCUUUUUUAAAAUAAACACACAAACUCACAAAUGUAUUUUUAUUCCAUUCCAGCAGUAUAUCAAAUUUUGAUACUCGUGUACACUAUUUUCUUUUUUUAUAUGACUUGAAUUUUUGUUUUAAUAUUCUUUCUUUUCCUUUUUUCGCCUAUUUGCCCCAUGCUACUGAGAUUAUGUGUAGUAAUAUAUUGAAUUUGCAUCUGUUUUCAUAUUCACAUGACAACGAUGUAGCAUGUCAAUCGAAAUACAGUUCCAAAGAUUAAAAAAAUAGUGCAAAGAUUCAAACUGUAUUCAGAUUUUAGACUAAAAGCUCUGUUUGCGAGUUUGAAGAUGGCGAAUUUCCAAAGCAUUUGUCUGAAUAUGUAAAUAUUUGCAGUAUCCUGUAUUGUAAGUGUGUUGGGAGAGAUAUGAAUUGAUGUGAUUGAUAUCAGUGGAGAUGUUUGCGGUUGAGGGCGAUGAAAGCGGGACAGUAUGGGCUUGACAUGAAAAGGACGGAUGCUCUCUGUCCCUGAAGUCCCUCGUAUGACGUUGCCCUCUUUAUUAAGGACAGAUGGCCCUUUUUGUCCUCAUCUGGCCACCAUCCAACCCCCGUCUGCACUCUUGAGGGAGUAAAAGACGCUCGCUGACAAGUCUAGCGUUCUCUUGCUCUGAUAUGAACGACUGUGACGACCCGAGUCCCGAGCGAUCUGCGACUCACUUGCACUGCGUCCUCGUAGAAUUGAUCUGUUAUUUAUUAUUUUUAGCAUGCCUGCCAUCCUUUUAUCCUGGAAACAAGAGCAUUUCGAAGGAGAUGGUGUUGUCGUGAUGUGAUGCAUUCAGAUGCAAACAUUUGUCACGCAACAUCUGUGUCGGAAAUGGUGUGCAUUUCUUAUGUAUUUGGCAUAACGUCUUAACUAUAUUACACUUUCAUUGCAUCACAAUGCAAUCUCUGGCUCUUCCUGAAAUCACUCUGCCUUGUUUAUGUCCUGUAUUUUUCUGCGAGCAAAUAAAUAUUUUCCUUAGUAAAAGCAUUGUAAAUCAGGCGCCUGAGCCGUCGUUUUGCUGUGUAUCCAUGUUGGCUUUCUCUAUAUUAAAUUAGGCUGAUUUAUA